rnacentral:rRNA from 1 species
UGGGGAAUAUUGCACAAUGGGGGAAACCCUGAUGCAGCGACGCCGCGUGAGCGAUGAAGGCUUUCGAGUCGUAAAGCUCUGUCCUAUGAGAAGAUAAUGACGGUAUCAUAGGAGGAAGCCCCGGCUAAAUACGUGCCAGCAGCCGCGGUAAUACGUAUGGGGCGAGCGUUGUCCGGAAUUAUUGGGCGUAAAGGGUACGUAGGCGGUCUAUUAAGUCAGGUGUGAAAGCGUGAGGCUUAACCUCAUUAAGCACUUGAAACUGAUAGACUUGAGUGAAGGAGAGGAAAGUGGAAUUCCUAGUGUAGCGGUGAAAUGCGUAGAUAUUAGGAGGAAUACCGGUGGCGAAGGCGACUUUCUGGACUUUUUCUGACGCUCAGGUACGAAAGCGUGGGGAGCAAACAGG